CUCUAUCUUAUGAUUUGUCAAAAAUCACAUGCUCUUUUAGGAUCCAAGGCUGUGAGGUUGGUAUAGUAGUAUAUGCAAUUAAGACUACUUGGGAUAGGCGUUUUUGAGUGGGUGUGGGGGGCUUCUUUUUUUCUUUUUCAACUGUGAAGCUAAACAUUGAGAGUCCCAAAGGCAAAGGAGUCACGUAGACAUGUGGUGAGACCUGAUUUUUAAAUUUUUUUUAAAGGCAGUCCUUCGAACAUAACUCUAAUGUUGAAAAUAAAGGCUAUUUAUUAUCCCUUUAUCACAGGACUCCGACUUUCAACAACCUUACUCCAAAUAUGAACACUCAUAUCACAUGCCAAGAAAUUAAUUAUUCACCUUUUCCAGUUUCUUUCUUCAACAAAUUUUACUUGAAGUUAUUCCAUUCUUUUAACAAAACAAAAAAUAAAAAGUUGAAAACUAGCGUUUUGGUUGAUCCUUAUUCUUACUGUGAAUGGGUGCGGCUGUGUGGCUGUGUAUGUCCAAAUUCAGCAAAUAUCA
rnacentral:lncRNA from 1 species